rnacentral:piRNA from 1 species
UAAGUGAAAGUCAGGGAUGUGGUGGGACU